CGAAGUGUAGCUUAAUAAAAAGCAUCUCGCUUACACCGAAAAAAUGUCUGUUAAACCCAGAUCACUUCGA
rnacentral:tRNA from 1 species